GCAUAUCAAUAAGCGGAGGAAAAGAAACCAACAGGGAUUGCCCUAGUAACGGCGAGUGAAGCGGCAACAGCUCAAAUUUGAAAUCUGGCUCUUUCAGAGUCCGAGUUGUAAUUUGCAGAGGGCGCUUUGGCUUUGGCAGCGGUCCAAGUUCCUUGGAACAGGACGUCACAGAGGGUGAGAAUCCCGUACGUGGUCGCUAGCUAUUGCCGUGUAAAGCCCCUUCGACGAGUCGAGUUGUUUGGGAAUGCAGCUCUAAAUGGGAGGUAAAUUCCAUCUAAAGCUAAAUAUUGGCGAGAGACCGAUAGCGAACAAGUAGAGUGAUCGAAAGAUGAAAAGCACUUUGGAAAGAGAGUCAAACAGCACGUGAAAUUGUUGAAAGGGAAGCGCUUGCAGCCAGACUUGCUUGCAGUUGCUCAUCCGGGCUUUUGCCCGGUGCACUCUUCUGCAGGCAGGCCAGCAUCAGUUUGGGCGGUGGGAUAAAGGUCUCUGUCACGUACCUUCCUUCGGGUUGGCCUUAUAGGGGAGACGCCAUACCACCAGCCUGGACUGAGGUCCGCGCAUCUGCUAGGAUGCUGGCGUAAUGGCUGUAAGCGGCCCGUCUUGAAACACGGACC
rnacentral:rRNA from 1 species